rnacentral:rRNA from 1 species
UACGUAGGGGGCAAGCGUUGUCCGGAUUUAUUGGGCGUAAAGAGCUCGUAGGCGGUUCCGUGAGUCGGCUGUGAAAUCUCCACGCUCAACGUGGAGGGGUCAGUCGAUACUGCGGUGACUCGAGUCCGGUAGGGGAGUGUGGAAUUCCCGGUGUAGCGGUGAAAUGCGUAGAUAUCUGGAGGAACACCGGUGGCGAAGGCGGCAUUCUGGACCGACAUUGACGCUGAGGAGCGAAAGCCAGGGGAGCAAACGGG